ACUGCUGUUAAUGUAGGUGCA
rnacentral:miRNA from 1 species